CUCGAUUUCUCACCGGGCCUUAGCUGC
rnacentral:piRNA from 1 species